rnacentral:hammerhead_ribozyme from 1 species
AUCUAGCUGAUGAGUCCCUCAUAGGACGAAAAGCUCAUCCUGGAU